UUAAGUUAUUAAGGGCGCACGGUGGAUGCCUUGGCACUAGAAGCCGAUGAAGGACGUUACUAACGACGAUAUGCUUUGGGGAGCUGUAAGUAAGCUUUGAUCCAGAGAUUUCCGAAUGGGGAAACCCAGCAUGAGUUAUGUCAUGUUAUCGAUAUGUGAAUACAUAGCAUAUCAGAAGGCACACCCGGAGAACUGAAACAUCUUAGUACCCGGAGGAAGAGAAAGAAAAUUCGAUUCCCUUAGUAGCGGCGAGCGAAACGGGAAGAGCCCAAACCAACAAGCUUGCUUGUUGGGGUUGUAGGACACUCUAUACGGAGUUACAAAGGACGACAUUAGACGAAUCAUCUGGAAAGAUGAAUCAAAGAAGGUAAUAAUCCUGUAGUCGAAAAUGUUGUCUCUCUUGAGUGGAUCCUGAGUACGACGGAGCACGUGAAAUUCCGUCGGAAUCUGGGAGGACCAUCUCCUAAGGCUAAAUACUCUCUAGUGACCGAUAGUGAACCAGUACCGUGAGGGAAAGGUGAAAAGCACCCCGGAAGGGGAGUGAAAUAGAACCUGAAACCGUGUGCUUACAAGUAGUCAGAGCCCGUUAAUGGGUGAUGGCGUGCCUUUUGUAGAAUGAACCGGCGAGUUACGAUUUGAUGCAAGGUUAAGCAGUAAAUGUGGAGCCGUAGCGAAAGCAAGUCUGAAUAGGGCGUUUAGUAUUUGGUCGUAGACCCGAAACCAGGUGAUCUACCCUUGGUCAGGUUGAAGUUCAGGUAACACUGAAUGGAGGACCGAACCGACUUACGUUGAAAAGUGAGCGGAUGAACUGAGGGUAGCGGAGAAAUUCCAAUCGAACCUGGAGAUAGCUGGUUCUCUCCGAAAUAGCUUUAGGGCUAGCCUCAAGUGAUGAUUAUUGGAGGUAGAGCACUGUUUGGACGAGGGGCCCCUCUCGGGUUACCGAAUUCAGACAAACUCCGAAUGCCAAUUAAUUUAACUUGGGAGUCAGAACAUGGGUGAUAAGGUCCGUGUUCGAAAGGGAAACAGCCCAGACCACCAGCUAAGGUCCCAAAAUAUAUGUUAAGUGGAAAAGGAUGUGGCGUUGCCCAGACAACUAGGAUGUUGGCUUAGAAGCAGCCAUCAUUUAAAGAGUGCGUAAUAGCUCACUAGUCGAGUGACACUGCGCCGAAAAUGUACCGGGGCUAAACAUAUUACCGAAGCUGUGGAUUGUCCUUUGGACAAUGGUAGGAGAGCGUUCUAAGGGCGUUGAAGCAUGAUCGUAAGGACAUGUGGAGCGCUUAGAAGUGAGAAUGCCGGUGUGAGUAGCGAAAGACGGGUGAGAAUCCCGUCCACCGAUUGACUAAGGUUUCCAGAGGAAGGCUCGUCCGCUCUGGGUUAGUCGGGUCCUAAGCUGAGGCCGACAGGCGUAGGCGAUGGAUAACAGGUUGAUAUUCCUGUACCACCUAUAAUCGUUUUAAUCGAUGGGGGGACGCAGUAGGAUAGGCGAAGCGUGCGAUUGGAUUGCACGUCUAAGCAGUAAGGCUGAGUAUUAGGCAAAUCCGGUACUCGUUAAGGCUGAGCUGUGAUGGGGAGAAGACAUUGAGUCUUCGAGUCGUUGAUUUCACACUGCCGAGAAAAGCCUCUAGAUAGAAAAUAGGUGCCCGUACCGCAAACCGACACAGGUAGUCAAGAUGAGAAUUCUAAGGUGAGCGAGCGAACUCUCGUUAAGGAACUCGGCAAAAUGACCCCGUAACUUCGGGAGAAGGGGUGCUCUUUAGGGUUAACGCCCAGAAGAGCCGCAGUGAAUAGGCCCAAGCGACUGUUUAUCAAAAACACAGGUCUCUGCUAAACCGUAAGGUGAUGUAUAGGGGCUGACGCCUGCCCGGUGCUGGAAGGUUAAGAGGAGUGGUUAGCUUCUGCGAAGCUACGAAUCGAAGCCCCAGUAAACGGCGGCCGUAACUAUAACGGUCCUAAGGUAGCGAAAUUCCUUGUCGGGUAAGUUCCGACCCGCACGAAAGGCGUAACGAUUUGGGCACUGUCUCAACGAGAGACUCGGUGAAAUCAUAGUACCUGUGAAGAUGCAGGUUACCCGCGACAGGACGGAAAGACCCCGUGGAGCUUUACUGUAGCCUGAUAUUGAAAUUCGGCACAGCUUGUACAGGAUAGGUAGGAGCCUUUGAAACGUGAGCGCUAGCUUACGUGGAGGCGCUGGUGGGAUACUACCCUAGCUGUGUUGGCUUUCUAACCCGCACCACUUAUCGUGGUGGGAGACAGUGUCAGGCGGGCAGUUUGACUGGGGCGGUCGCCUCCUAAAAGGUAACGGAGGCGCUCAAAGGUUCCCUCAGAAUGGUUGGAAAUCAUUCAUAGAGUGUAAAGGCAUAAGGGAGCUUGACUGCGAGACCUACAAGUCGAGCAGGGUCGAAAGACGGACUUAGUGAUCCGGUGGUUCCGCAUGGAAGGGCCAUCGCUCAACGGAUAAAAGCUACCCCGGGGAUAACAGGCUUAUCUCCCCCAAGAGUUCACAUCGACGGGGAGGUUUGGCACCUCGAUGUCGGCUCAUCGCAUCCUGGGGCUGUAGUCGGUCCCAAGGGUUGGGCUGUUCGCCCAUUAAAGCGGUACGCGAGCUGGGUUCAGAACGUCGUGAGACAGUUCGGUCCCUAUCCGUCGUGGGCGUAGGAAAUUUGAGAGGAGCUGUCCUUAGUACGAGAGGACCGGGAUGGACAUACCUCUGGUGUACCAGUUGUCGUGCCAACGGCAUAGCUGGGUAGCUAUGUAUGGACGGGAUAAGUGCUGAAAGCAUCUAAGCAUGAAGCCCCCCUCAAGAUGAGAUUUCCCAACUUCGGUUAUAAGAUCCCUCAAAGAUGAUGAGGUUAAUAGGUUCGAGGUGGAAGCAUGGUGACAUGUGGAGCUGACGAAUACUAAUCGAUCGAAGACUUAAUCAA
rnacentral:rRNA from 1 species